UGGCACCCAUGGUCUGGAAGACUAAUGAAUUUUGUUGUUGUGUAGUGUGAGAACAAUGAAUCAUUAUCUUCCUGAACCAUGGAUGUAA
rnacentral:pre_miRNA from 1 species